rnacentral:rRNA from 1 species
UACGGAAGGGGCAAGCGUUGUUCGGAAUUACUGGGCGUAAAGGGCGCGUAGGCGGGAUGGCAAGUCGGUCGUGAAAUCCCUCGGCUCAACUGAGGAUCGUCGAUCGAUACUGCCGUUCUUGAGGAUUGCAGAGGAGACUGGAAUUCCCGGUGUAGCGGUGAAAUGUGUAGAGAUCGGGAGGAACACCGGUGGCGAAGGCGGGUCUCUGGGCAAUUCCUGACGCUGAGGCGCGAAAGCGUGGGGAGCAAACGGG